rnacentral:rRNA from 1 species
UGAUCCUGGCUCAGGAUGAACGCUAGCUACAGGCUUAACACAUGCAAGUCGAGGGGAAACGAUAGAGAAAGCUUGCUUUUUCUAGGCGUCGACCGGCGCACGGGUGAGUAACGCGUAUCCAACCUGCCCAUCACUUGGGGAUAACCUUGCGAAAGUAAGACUAAUACCCAAUGACGUCUCUAGAAGACAUCUGAAAGGGAUUAAAGAUUUAUCGGUGAUGGAUGGGGAUGCGUCUGAUUAGCUUGUUGGCGGGGUAACGGCCCACCAAGGCGACGAUCAGUAGGGGUUCUGAGAGGAAGGUCCCCCACAUUGGAACUGAGACACGGUCCAAACUCCUACGGGAGGCAGCAGUGAGGAAUAUUGGUCAAUGGACGAGAGUCUGAACCAGCCAAGUAGCGUGCAGGAUGACGGCCCUAUGGGUUGUAAACUGCUUUUAUAAGGGAAUAAAGUGGGAGUCGUGACUCCUUUUGCAUGUACCUUAUGAAUAAGGACCGGCUAAUUCCGUGCCAGCAGCCGCGGUAAUACGGAAGGUCCGGGCGUUAUCCGGAUUUAUUGGGUUUAAAGGGAGCGUAGGCCGGAGAUUAAGCGUGUUGUGAAAUGUAGACGCUCAACGUCUGCACUGCAGCGCGAACUGGUUUCCUUGAGUACGCACAAAGUGGGCGGAAUUCGUGGUGUAGCGGUGAAAUGCUUAGAUAUCACGAAGAACUCCGAUUGCGAAGGCAGCUCACUGGAGCGCAACUGACGCUGAAGCUCGAAAGUGCGGGUAUCGAACAGGAUUAGAUACCCUGGUAGUCCGCACGGUAAACGAUGGAUGCCCGCUGUUGGUCUGAAUAGGUCAGCGGCC